CUUAAUUUGACUCAACACGGGAAACCUCACCAGGUCCGGACACCGGAAGGAUUGACAGAUUGAGAGCUCUUUCUUGAUUCGGUGGGUGGUGGUGCAUGGCCGUUCUUAGUUGGUGGAGCGAUUUGUCUGGUUAAUUCUGAUAACGAACGAGACUCUAGCCUGCUAAAUAGGCGUACUUUCCGGUAUCGCAAAGACCCUCCGCUUCGGCUUCGGUCGUUGUUGGUUGUGGUUCUUACUACCGGCGUACAAAUAUAUCUUCUUAGAGGGACAGGUGGCAUUUAGUCGCACGAAAUGAGCAAUAACAGGUCUGUGAUGCCCUUAGAUGUUCUGGGCGCACGCGCGCUACACUGAAGAGAUCAGCAGGUUUUCCUUGGCCGAAAGGUCCGGGUAAUCCGUUGAAGCCUCUUCGUGCUAGGGAUUGGGGCUUGCAAUUCUUCCCCAUGAACGAGGAAUUCCUAGUAAGCGCGAGUCAUAAGCUUGCGUUGAUUACGUCCCUGCCCUUUGUACACACCGCCCGUCGCUACUACCGAUUGAAUUAUUUAGUGAGGUCUUCGGACCG
rnacentral:rRNA from 1 species